UGCAGAGAGCUACAUUUAAGUAAUAUCACCAGUUAUGAAAAGUGAGUGUGUGACACAGAUGCUCUACAUCCUACAGCUUUAGUUUUGUAGAAUAAGUGUAGUGCAGCACACAAUGUCUGGCUCUCAAAAGUGUGAGUUUGCUCCUAACACCAGUCUUAUUCGGUCAUCUAAAUUCAGACUUCAGUAGACAGGUUGAGGGGGUCACAAUCUACACAUAAAAAUGUUAUUACGUUGGUCAUUUGUCAGCUCAUGGUUUACAAAUAAACUCUGUUUCAGAAAACAUAUAUACUUUAUGAUAUGAUUAGCAAGUGCCAUGGCUUGUUAACCAGAUACAGUAUUAUGCAGUACUGCAGCAUAGGAAAAUUCUUUGAGGUUGAAGUUUAAAGGUUCAUUUAAAUCAAAAGACUCGUCCUGGGCCACCCCAGUUCUUGAAAUAAACAGUUUUCUACAUGAAAAUUAAAGGGAUACUCCAAUACAGCCUGCUGCAUAAGUUAUUGUGCCAGGAUUGCCC